rnacentral:piRNA from 1 species
UACUCUUGACAGUGGGAUGACGAU